rnacentral:rRNA from 1 species
UAACUUUCAACAACGGAUCUCUUGGCUCUCGCAUCGAUGAAGAACGCAGCGAAAUGCGAUAAGUAAUGUGAAUUGCAGAAUUCAGUGAAUCAUCGAAUCUUUGGACGCACCUUGCGCACCUUGGCAUUCCAAGGAGCAUGCCUGUUUGAGUGUCAUCAAAUU